UACCCUUGACAUGCCACUAACGAAGCAGAGAUGCAUUAGGUGCCCGAAAGGGAAAGUGGACACAGGUGCUGCAUGGCUGUCGUCAGCUCGUGUCGUGAGAUGUUGGGUUAAGUCCCGCAACGAGCGCAACCCUUAUCAUUAGUUGCUACGCAAGGGCACUCUAAUGAGACUGCCGGUGACAAACCGGAGGAAGGUGGGGAUGACGUCGUAUCUCACUG
rnacentral:misc_RNA from 1 species